ensembl:snRNA U6 U6 spliceosomal RNA
GUGCUUGCUUCGGCAGUACAUAUACUAAAAUUGGAACAAUAUGCAGAAGAUUAGCAUGGCCCCUGCACAAAGAUGAUUUGCAAAUUUGUGAAGCAUUCCAUAUUUUU